rnacentral:rRNA from 1 species
UACGUAGGCAGCGAGCGUUGUUCGGAGUUACUGGGCGUAAAGGGUGUGUAGGCGGUUGUUUAAGUUUGGUGUGAAAUCUCCCGGCUCAACUGGGAGGGUGCGCCGAAUACUGAAUGACUUCGAGUGCGGGAGAGGAGAGUGGAAUUCCUGGUGUAGCGGUGAAAUGCGUAGAUAUCUGGAGGAAUACCGGUGACGAAGGCGGCAUCCUGGACCGAGAUUGACACUAAAGCGCGAAAGCCAGGGGAGCAAACGGG